rnacentral:rRNA from 1 species
AGCCAUGCCGCGUGCAGGAAGACGGUCCUAUGGAUUGUAAACUGCUUUUGUACAGGAAGAAACACUGGUUCGUGAACCAGCUUGACGGUACUGUAAGAAUAAGGAUCGGCUAACUCCGUGCCAGCAGCCGCGGUAAUACGGAGGAUCCAAGCGUUAUCCGGAAUCAUUGGGUUUAAAGGGUCCGUAGGCGGCCUUAUAAGUCAGUGGUGAAAUCUUCUAGCUCAACUAGAAAAUGGCCAUUGAUACUGUAGGGCUUGAAUUAUUGUGAAGUAACUAGAAUAUGUAGUGUAGCGGUGAAAUGCUUAGAUAUUACAUGGAAUACCAAUUGCGAAGGCAGGUUACUAACAAUACAUUGACGCUGAUGGACGAAAGCGUGGGGAGCGAACAGGAUUAGAUACCCUGGUAGUCCACGCCGUAAACGAUGGAUACUAGCUGUUUGGAGUAAUCUGAGUGGCUAAGCGAAAGUGAUAAGUAUCCCACCUGGGGAGUACGAACGCAAGUUUGAAACUCAAAGGAAUUGACGG